rnacentral:rRNA from 1 species
AUGGUGCUCAACGGGUUUGAAGGCAAAGAGAAAACUGAAGCCAAAGGUGUAAUGUAUGUGGAGCUUACAGUCGGAAGCAAAACUUUGGCUACUGCAUUCUUUGUCUCUGAGGUGCAAGGUAACUACAACGUUAUACUAGGCCAUGAUUGGGUUCAUGCAAACCAGUGCGUGCCAUCCACUAUGCACCAGUUUUUGAUUCAGUGGGUUGAUGAUGAAGUGGAAGUCAUUCAUGCGGAUAACUCGGCUUGUGUUGCUUUGGCCGAUGCAUCGGUGGAUUGGCAACAUCCCAAUGCUACUUGCUUGACGGGACGUGACUUAUAA